GACGAGGUGACCGAGCGGUCAAGGUGAUGGACUGCUAAUCCAUUGUGCUCUGCACGCGUGGGUUCGAAUCCCUCCCUUGUCC
rnacentral:tRNA from 1 species